CGCUGCGCUUCCGCUUGACGCGCAGCACCGCGGACCCCUCCAUGACGCUCGGCUACAAGCAGUAGGUGUGGGCCCGCAGCUCCCUGCUCUCCGCGACCCUGCCCGCCGCGCGGUGCAUGCCGGGCAGGUGACGGUUGUCGUGGGAAGGCGGUCUGAGUGCGAGUAUUUUGGGUAUUCCACUGAAGCCAAAGUGGGAAAACUGCACAUAAUACAUAAAUAAUACAAAUUGAGAUUGAUCAUGAAGACCUUUUGUGGAAGAGCUAAUCCAACCACUGGUGCAAUGGAGUGGUUAGAAGAGGAUGAGAACUAUGACUACCAUCAGGAAAUUGCACGGUCACGCUAUGCAGAUAUGCUUCAUGAUAAAGACAGAAAUGAGAAAUAUUACCAAGGUAUUCGUGCUGCAGUGAACAGAGUAAAAGAAAGAGGUGAGAAAGCAAUUGUUCUGGAUAUAGGGACUGGCACAGGACUUCUGUCUAUGAUGGCAGCUUCAGCAGGUGCUGAUUUCUGCUAUGCAGUUGAGGUCUUCAAGCCCAUGGCUAAUGCUGCUGUGAAGAUAGUGGAGAAAAAUGGUUUUCGUGAUAAGAUCAAGGUAAUCAACAAGCACUCCACUGAAGUCACAGUUGGUCCAGAUGGAGAUAUGCAAUGUCGUGCAAACAUCCUGGUAACAGAGCUGUUUGAUACAGAGCUGAUUGGAGAAGGGGCUUUACCAACCUAUGAGCAUGCACACAAGUAUCUUGUACAGGAAGGAUGUGAGGCAGUGCCUCACAGGGCAACAGUGUAUGUCCAAUUGGUGGAAUCCAAAAGAAUGUGGGCCUGGAACAAACUGUUUCCUGUUCAUGUCGAAGCAGAGGAUGGUGAAAAAAUUAUUGUCUCCCCUUCAGAAAUGGAGAACUGUCCAGGUGUUCCUUCUGUUUGUGAUAUCCAACUGAACCAAAUGCCUUCAAAUGACUUCACUGUCCUUAGUGAUGUGUUAACAAUGUUCAGUGUGGAUUUCAGUAAGCCAGUAAGGAGUGCUUCUACCUACUAUAGAGUGCAGCUGGAGCCUGUAAAAUCUGGCAAGGCACAAAUUGUACUUUCGUGGUGGGAUAUUGACAUGGAUCCCUCUGGAAUGAUAAAUUGUACAAUGGCUCCAUACUGGGUAAAACCCACUUCCACUUUCCAGUGGCGAGAUCACUGGAUGCAAUGUGUGUAUUUUCUUCCCAAUGAGGAGCCAGUUCUCCAGGGUGAGAAGUUGUACCUGAUUGCCAGUCGUGAUGAGUACUCUUUGUGGUACAAGCUGCAGAAGGACAGAGGAGAAGAGAAGAACAAAGCAGAAGUUCUUGUUGAGAGUCCUGUUUGUAGAUGCCAGGCUCAUCUUCUUUGGAAUAGACCACGCUUUGGGCAAUUAAAUGAUAAGAACCGAACACUCCAAUAUAUCAAGUCUCUGAUGAAAGUUCUGAAAACUGAUAGUGUUUGCCUUUGUAUUAGUGAUGGCAGCCUGCUGCCUGUGCUGGCUCACUAUCUUGGAGCAAAGCAGGUAUUUACACUAGAAAACUCUGCUGUGUCCUGUUCUGUCAUGGAAAAAUUUUUUAAAGCAAAUCAUCUUGAUGAUAAAAUUAAGAUAAUAGAAGCACGUCCUGAGUUGCUGACAUCUUCUAAUUUGGAAAAUAAAAAGGUUUCUGUUCUUGUGGGAGAGCCAUUUUUUACUACAAGUCUGUUGCCAUGGCAUAACCUGUAUUUCUGGUAUGCCAGAACAGCUGUGACCGGUCACCUCACCAGCGAUGUCACUAUCCUACCUCAGUCUGCUUCUUUGCACAUGAUGAUUGUGGAGUUUCAGGACUUAUGGAGGAUCCGGAGUCCAUGUGGCACCUGUGAAGGUUUUGAUGUCCAGACUAUGGAUGAUAUGAUUAACGGAAUCCAAGGAAGCAGAACCUCACCCUUUGUGGGAAUAUCCUUGCAAGUCUCUCUCUGACCCCCAAGAAGUUUUGACAUUUGACUUCAGAAAGACUGUACCACAACACUGUCUCAGAACAAAGGGUUCUGUAAAUCUUUUACGGAAAGGAAAGAGCCAUGGAGCAGUUCUGUGGAUGGAAUAUUAUCUUGCUGCUGAUAUCUCCGUUAGUACAGGACUGGUGCAAAUUUCAAAUGAAAAGGGAAACUGUGAGUGGAAUCCCCACUGCAAGCAAGCUGUCUAUUUCUUCAGUUCUGUUAUUGAAUCAGAAACUCUGUCAGACCUUCCUAGUGCUGUCACGUAUGCUAUAAAUUUCGACACAAAGACAGGAGAGAUUGCCAUGGAUUUUAAGCUGUCAUAAAAUAGCUUAAAAUUUUAAUUACUUUCUUUUUAUUCAUGUUCCCAAAUUGUAAUAAACUUCUAUAGAAUUUUUUAUAUGGCAGAAGGAUUUUAUUUGUUGUGCUCAGAGAGCAAGCUGAUUGUUCUGAAAUACACUUUAAACCUUUUUGGGUUUGUUUGCAAGAUAGAUGGUGGGGGAAGUAGAAAGGAACUUUUUAGUAAAGAUGAGUACUCCUGACAAGAAUUCCUGACAGGGCUUAUAUACAUACAUACACAUACUUGUUACAUAUCCUUCAGUGUGAAACUGGUAUUUUGGGGUUUUGAACAACAUUAUGGAGCUACAAAAGAGUUGACUUCCUGUUUAUUGCAUGGCAUAUCAGUGCAUGAGAACACUGAACCUUAAACUAACAUUAAAGUGAGUUAAACACAUCUAUUUGUAGGCUUUGCUCUUGCCACUGUAAAAUGGGAAAUAAUCUUCAGAGUGCACAGAAAGAAAUCCCAGGUCAAGCUACAUAUGUGUAUUAGUGCAGUUAAUAGGGAGAGGGAAACAGUUUAGCUGCUCGCAGACUUGUGUCAGUUAUGGCUAGUAUUAAACAGGUCAGUGAAUUAAAGUAUGAUGCACGAACAUUCUUGUGGAGUCUGAGAUACUGCAUUUCUGAAGAGACAUUUGCCAAACAGUGACCCAAGUCAGGAAAGGUGUAACUAGAAAUUAAAAAAUUUACAAAUUCAGGUUAAUUGGAAUUUACAAACUGAUAGUAUUAUGGCCAGAAACAAAAGAAAAAGCCAUAGUGUACAAAAACACACAAAUUUUAGGAGAUACGUAAUAUGCAUUAUCUGGUCAAAAAUGUGGACUUAUAUUUGUUCCACUAGAGGUCUAAAUAAUACCUGUUCAGCUGAGUUGUAUGUUGCACAUAUCUGCAGCUGAGUUUUACUUAGUUGUAUUCCAGAUCAUGUUGAGAGAAGUUGUAAUGUGUGACAAUGUGUGUGCAAUUAAUUCUGCUUUAGAUGAACAAUCAAUUGGUGGAUCUGUUUUGUAUGUGUGACCUAUUAAGAGAAAUAGAAAAUCAUUGUAUCGGCUGUCCUAAAUUAUGUCAGCCAGCCAUAGGCAUAGCUCUGCUUACCAAAGUUACUCCUGUUUCCUAUGACCAGCAACUUCAGCAAAGUGAGAGGAAUUCCACAAAGAAGCCAUGAGGGAGCAGGAGCUUACUCUGGUAGCUCAGGAGCUUUCCUCGUCACCAUGGUAAAUAAUUCUGGUGAGUAGGAAUUUUUCCUUUUUCUCUUCCUAAGUGUGUGAUCGCAUUUACAGACCUGGAAGCCAUCUGAAAUAUUCCUAAAUUUCUGAGAACUGUUUUUCUGAUGAAGGUCUUCACACUUAAUAGAUGUAAGGAAGCAAUUAAAUACAUGACUAAUAUUUUUCACUGGAACAGGAACCCUGCAGCUCCUGUUGAGAUCUGUGGAUUUCACUUUUCAAAACUGUACUUUUAAGAUGCUUAACAUCAGACUCUUGUUUCUUACAAACUUUGCUGGAAUGUGUAGGUUACUGUUCAUUAAACAAUUGUUUCUAAUUUUGCUACCUGCACCGAGUCCACAGAAUGUAUAGUGGCACCCACCUGUUUGUUGUAUGUUGGGAACAUAAGCUGUGCAGUUGUAAAGGGAACAAUAAUAUGGCCAAGGCAUUUAAAGGGAAAAGGCUUUUUAAAUUUAAUUUAUAAAUUAAAAAAAAAAAGGCAGACAGUUGUGCAAGUGUGAAUAUUGUAAGGCUUGCACUGUAUAAAUUGUCUUUGGGAAGAGAUCAGAGCAGAAAAACCACAGGUGCUGCCUUCUGUGUUUGCUCGUGGUCUGACACAGAAGGCAUGAGCUGCUGUUUUUGUUCGGCAGUAUUCAGAAGCUAUUUUUCAGGAAUAGCUUCUGAAGGUGCGUUGCAUAUGACUACAGAUGAUUCUGGACCUAACAGAAGCAUACAGUGUUCAAAAGGUAACACAGAACUAAUAGACAUCAAUAUAUUAGAAUUAUGGUGUUUGAAAAAUAACAAAACCACAACUGCAUUUACAGUAUUUUAAUGUCUACUGGUAACUUUCUUAAAGAUUACUCUGUAUGUAUGGUCUGAAUUGUGCUUCCUAGUUAAAAAUAAAACAAUUUGCUAAAAUGACAA